GAAAUACCUGUGGUACCAUGAUACAAACAUCACAAUGUAGGUGCUUGACAAUGUGGCAAAAUAGCAAACAGUGACAGUAACAACCAGCCAAGGCAAAUAAAGAAUUAGAGCAAGGUUUCAGCAACAGUUCUUACUGGUUACAAAUUAGUUCAGUCCUUGUGACCCCUUGGUUUGUGCCUGGUCUACAGGGCAGAGUACAUACUUUAUCUGAAGAUACUGCAUGAAGUUGAACAUAUGAUGUUGGAGCUCAGCAUUCUCCGAGAAGAGAACAAGGCAAAUAGCAAGAUCAUAACCCUCAACUUCAGAAGAGCAGACUUUGGCCUGUUCAGGGGAUUUACUUGGAAGACUCUCUUAGCAUAUGAUCCUGGAAAGAAGAAGGGCCCAGCAGACCUGGCUGAUUUUCAAAGAUUUCCAAAAUGAUCCAUUCACAUGUGCAGGGAAUCAGGCAAAGGUGGCAGGAGGCCAGCAUGGAUGAACAAGGAGCUCCUGAGUAAACUCAGGCAUGAAAAGGAUGCAUAAAGAGAGGGAAGCAGAGACAGGUAACUUUGGAGGAAUAUAGAGAUAUUGUCAGCUAUAUAGAAAUGGAGUUAGGAAAGCCAAAGCACGCUUGGAAUUGAAUUUGUUCGGGGUAGAAAGGUAACAAAAAGGACUUCUACAGGUAAAUCAACAGUGAAGGGCAAACCAACCUGGUAGCCUUAUACGAUGAAAUGACAAGUUUGGUGAGCAAGAGGAGAGCAGUGCAUGUCGUGUAUUUGGACUUCAGCAAAGCUUUUGACACUGUCUGCCAUGACAUCCUCCUAGACAAACCAAUGAAAUACAGGUUAGAUAAAUAGACUGUGAAAUGGACUGAGAACUGAAAUUUUGGUGUCAAAAGAUAUGAAUGACACAAAGUCCAGCUGGACCAGUGAUUACUGGUGUAUUCCAAGGGUCAAUACUGGACCCAGUACUGUGUAACAUCUUCAUUAAUGACCUAGAUGAUGGGACAGAGUGCACCCUCAGCAAAUUUGCAGAUGUUAAAAACUGGGAGGUGGUUGUGCUACCAUUCAGGGAGAGAUCAACAGACUGGAGAAAUGGGCAAACAGCAGCUUCAUGAAAUUAAAUAAAGGACAAUGCAAAGUCCUGUACCUAGUGAGGAGAAAAAUGGUGCACCAGUACAAUCUGGGGACCAACUGGCUGGAAAGCAUCUUUGCAGGAAAAGCCCCAAAGAUCCUGGUGGACAGCAAGCUGGCCAUGGGCCAGGAAUGUGGUCCUGCAGCAGAGAAAGCCAACACUCUGGGUUCAGGGGGGAUCUUAUCAAUUUAUGUAAAUACCUGACGUGAGGGUGUAAAGGCAGAGCCAGAGUCUUCUCAGCAGUGCACAGUGAAAAGACAAGAGGCAGUGAACAGAAACUGAAAUACCAGAAAUUCCACUUAAGCAUAAGAACUUUUUUUACUGUGAGGGUGGUCAAACAGUUGAGGUACAGGUACA